rnacentral:rRNA from 1 species
CCUACGGGUGGCUGCAGUAAGGAAUAUUGGUCAAUGGAGGAAACUCUGAACCAGCCAUCCCGCGUGAAGGAUGAAGGGGCUCUGCCUUGUAAACUUCUUUUGUCUGGGGCGAAAAAGCUCGAUUUAUCGAGAACUGACGGUACCAGAAGAAUAAGCACCGGCUAACUCCGUGCCAGCAGCCGCGGUAAUACGGAGGGUGCAAGCGUUAUCCGGAAUCACUGGGGUUGAAGGGUGCGUAGUCGGCUUGGUAUGAAAGGCUGUGGCUUAACCAUGGAAUUGGCAUUGAUACGGCAGAGCUUGAAUGAGGUUGGGGUGGGCGGAAUGUGACAUGUAGCGGUGAAAUGCUUAGAUAUGUCAUGGAACACCGAUUGCGAAGGCAGCUGACUGGACCUAUAUUGACGCUGAGGCACGAAAGCGUGGGAGCGAACAGGAUUAGAUACCCUUGUAGUC